AUGCAUUUCACUCAAUGCGAAAUCAGUAUUAUUAGUACUACAUGUGAAAAGCAUAUAUGGCUGAAAACAAUGCAAAGCCAAUCUUUUUACAUGUGUAAAGCGCACCUUGCUGCAAACAAUGCAAAGCCAAACCUUUUACAUGAGAAAAGGUGCCUGUGUGAAAGAUUACAAUGGUUUAAGCACGCUGUGAUCCAAAAAGUGACAGAGCUGUACUUGGAGAAGAGCAAAAAAAAAAAAGAAGAAGAAGAAGAAGAGAGUACUGCUACCGCAGCUUCAAACCGGCAAGCCUAUAAACACAACUCUAAUUUUUACAGCAUUCAGUAUGCAGCAGAUCCUUCUGCUGCGAAAACCUAA
rnacentral:rRNA from 1 species